UCUGGGAUGCAGCACUUACACAACAAGCUGGCCUUCUCUCAGAAAAAGCUGCCUGGCCAAAGGAGCUGGCAUCUGCAGCCAUCUGGUAUUUUUGGGAAGGCUGAGGAUGUUUUGUGCUCGAUCAAACUCCAAUACCAGAGUGAUUCGCCUGAUAUCUAAAAAUCUGGAUUCAGCUUUUAGAAAAGAAGCUGCACUUUGCCCAGGAAAGCAAAGCAGCACGAAUGGCUCGUUGGAUGUAUGCUGAUUCCUGCCUCAGGACUGCUUGGGUAACCAUCUGAGGGCUUCAGUCCCUUCUGGCUGUGUUUUAAUCUUUGUUUUCACGUUGUUUUCUGCAAAGCAAUGUGAAGAAUCUCUGCUGCAUAGACAUGUGUGUCCCCAUGCCUCUGUACUUUUGCAAGUUAAAGUGUCUAGAGUUCUCUUUAAAAAGUCACGAGUUUUCACGGAGGAAAAAUAUAAUCAUUUUACCCAAGACGACUGCUCCUAUUCCAGUAUAAACUGUCUCCAAACAUGGAACAACAGCGUGCCGUUUGGUUCCAUGGGCCAGCAAUGCUGAAUGAAUUGGCAGAUGCUGCACUUCUACAUGAUCUCUAGUAGCCAGGCUGUUAGAACAGCGCUCUUCUUUAUUUACAGUUUUCGUUCAAAUUGAAAAGAUCUGAUCUGCCAAAAAAAGUGCCCCUCACUGAAGCUCCUGCCCCCGAUCUGAUUAACUGGAGCCUGGCGUUGUAGGGAAUUGCUGGGUGCGCUCACCCGGCCCGUGGUGGGUGCUGAGAGUCUCCGCUCGGCUUUUGCAAGGACUCGCAGUUGGACACACAACAUAUAGACUGAUGAUGAGGUAGAGAUUUUCUCACCACUGCCUGCUGUUGCUGGCUCUAUGGAUGUUCAUACUGCUGGCUCGAGGGAAAUCAAGCCUUUCUGGGAAGUGGCUACUCCCUAUCCUCUUUAUACAGAAAAUGUAUUGUUAUUAUUUGAAAGCACUUUUGUAUUGCUCUUAGACUACAAGUAUGGCGAUUGUUCAAUUAGAAGACAUCAUGGUGCAUAGCAGUGAAAUACGACGUACAGUACCAUGCAGUAUGUAUUUUCCAGAUAAACUGUGAAAAUGGUGAAAUGGAUCUGCAAAGUGUGGGCACAAUAGCUGCUUUACAUUCCUUCACAUGUGUGGAAUUUAUACGCGCCACAGAGUGACUCUGUUUUGUUACCAUGUGUUUAAGAUAAUCUGAUGAUUAGUCGUAUUUCUGGCAGUUUUCAUUUUCUCGCUUGUAUCUGUGGUCCAAGCACAAAGUCGCAGAGACUUCAGAUCGAACACGGCCAUGAAUUAGUGCCGGCCAAGCCCUCCCACAAUUUAUUUCCACUACGACAGAGAGAGAGAACAGACUUAACAGUUGAAAAACACAAGAGAUUCUUUCUCCUUCUCAUCCAGGGGCAGCUCAAGCAAUUUGCCAGAUAGAAGUAUUUGGCCGCCUUUGCAGACCGCGGAUCAUUCGAUCGAGACUUUCCAGCCCGGAGGUGCAUCUGCCGCGGGCCCCACCUUGCCCGGGAAGCUGCAGCCUGAAACGUGCAGCCGCGGUGCGGCGCAGAGCCUCGCCGUGUGUCGCGACUCGCAGUUCAGCUCGUGUAACGACGACGGCAGGAGCGGCUGCCAAAAAAUAAUCCGCGUCUGCCGCGCGCCGACUCCUGCGUGUAUUGAAAAGUCCCGUAAUCAGGAGGAAGGAGGCAGGUCCUCGUGCGCGGUUUCUAUUGAUCUUGGCGAGGCUGACGAAGCUAGCUGGGAAAGCAAUAGAGCUGCUCCUGCGCCUGGCAAGCCCGCGACUGACCGCUAACAGCCACCGGCAGCGUCACACGCUCUGCUCCGCCUGACGGGAACGCUCAGAUGUGUCCAGCACAUGUGACGAUGGGCCAAUGUGGGACAAAUUACCAUGAGAUGGCAGGAUGGUUCAUGUCCUUGACACAUAUCCAGUAAAGCAUCACACCCUCUCCUAUUGCCUGCGUGUUGGCUCCUAGCCCAGGAUUUAGCUUUUAAUGAAGUAAGAGAAAAACAGAAUUAACUGAGGGGGGCUUUUUAAAACUUGCAUUUUAAGGGGGCAGGAGAAGGUACCAAAGUCGCCAGCGGUUCCCAAGGAGCACGAGAACGAGCCCAACAAAGGCGCUCUUGUACGAGCGAGGAGAUGCCGCAGAACCUGUGUCUGGAUGAAAGCUGCCCUAUCAAAAUAGCCAUAAACAAACCCGCCUCCUCGGCUACAGAAAAGCUGUUGUGCCAGGAGCAUAUUAAAUUGUAUAUGCUUUUUCUCAAGGCAAAAGAAUUGCAGCAGUGACGGCAGCUGUGUGUGCUGGAGCUGAGCCACUGUAUUCAACUAAUGAAGGCCUUGCUGAGGACGGGGUGGGGGAAGGACUGCAGAUGAAUGUAUUAUUCAGAGAGACCCACACUGAAAUAAUCUACCGGCACUUGGGAUAUGCGGUAGGAAAAAAAAAAAGUGAUUGCCCACUCGCCGAAAGCUAAUGCCUUUGCCAGAGGGCAGCACAGGUGAUGGGCCGAAUCUCUUCCCACGCUGGAAGCUGCAGCCCGGGGGUAUUGCUGUUUAUGGGGUGAAGCACGGUGCCUCUUUUUUCCUUCUGCAUGUUUCCCUGUUUGGUCUAAACCUCUCGCAGCAGAGCCGGGCUGCAGCGGAAGGGUCUGCUCCGUCCUGCCCAGCGCGGGCCCUGGAAGCAGUGAGCAGCAGGGGAGAGGCAGGGUAACCUGGUCCUCCGUGAGCCCGAGCUCUGCUGACUGCUGCCUGCUUGGUCACAGAUGUCAUGAGUAAGUAGGAAAGAAGUGGCCUCAAUCAUGGAGAGAGGAUCGUCUCGGCCCGUUUCUCCCCAGGCGAGGUGGCCGGCUGCCGGGCCCGCCGGGGAGAGGUGCAGCCGCUUCGGGAUUCACCGAGCACCCGCCAGCAGCUGCCCCUUUGCCUCCGCAGUGCCCUGCGCCGGGGCUCAGGAGGGAUCGCUGUGCCCUCCACAACCCUCCAAACAUGGGCAUGAACAACAACAGAAUAGGAUUUCAUCUCCAUCCACACUGUCUCGGCCACCUGUGAAAUGAAUGCUGCUACCAGUGUUAGGUGCUCAUUGCUCGGUGGGUGGAGGUCUUUGAGUUUCCUUUCUGCUCACGCUUUCCUCCCAACUCCUUGGACUAUGAAAAGGCCAAGCCUGAAUGUUGCAGCCCCCCGAGGAGACACACAUGUAGCACCCGUGUGAGCCCGGCUCAGCUGGAGACCUUCUCGAGUAUGGAUGACUUGCUGUUUAUGGAAAGCACUCGAGUGCAGGAGAGAUCGUGCUACAGUUAAACAGACAAUGCUUAAAGGGCCAUUCCCUGCCGCCCCGGCUAACGCAGCUUUUCUCUCUGUUCUCCAGUAAAGAAGGGCUUCUGCAGCCAGAUGGAUGGGUGCAGUGUCACAAAACGCUGCUUAAGGUAAACAACCGCUAUAUCCAGGCAGAUGGGGAAGAUGGUUCCACAUUUCACUUCUUGCAAGAAAGGAGAAAUCCAGUUGUGGUGCAAAUGCAGGGAAUGGGUCCUCCGGGCUUCUGGGAGUCGCAGUCGGACCUGCGACACAGCUGGACAAUGCUAAAAACGUGCCCUGGGAAACAGAGAUGGUGGCUGGGAGACCAGAGGGGCUUUGGCAAUGGUUGCUCCCAGCUCCCCAUCCACAGCGUGCCACAGUCACAGGCCAGUUACUUCGCUUCGCCGUGUCCUCUCUGCAUUUCCCAUCAGUGACGUGCCGAGUGGUUAUAAAGGCGCUUUAUUGGCUUCGAGUGAGAAACUGCAUAAGCACGAAGUAUUGAGAUUAAGCAGUCGCAGAGCGCUGAAUUCCCCGGGACACACGGCUGGGCAAGGGAUGCCCCAACGUGGGCCGUCUGCUCCGCUCCGGCCACCGCCGCCACAGAGGCUAUGGGAGCAGCAGGCUGCCACGUUUCCAGGAGAUGUAAGAAAGCAAAAAGAAAAAUGUACAUAACUCUGCACUAGACUUUUUGAAAAACAAAGAAAAACAAAGAAAAACGAUCCUUCUAUUUGCUCUUCUCCUUCUUAUUAACUGGGUUUCUGUGACAAAAAGGGUCAGAAAUUGAAUUAGGAAACUUCACAGCCAUUGCAAACACCUACGGUUCACAAUAAAUUAGCUCUCCCGCUCCAGCAGUCAUCAUAUCUCCUGCGUCCUGCGAGAGAAGCUGGAUCCUGCGGCCUCUGGUGUGUGCGGAGCCGAGGACGUGUGUAUCGUUCUUGUGAGUUUUAUUGUAAGGGAGGGAAUCUCACAGGACAAAUGUGUAAUGUUGUAGGAGCAACAAGGUUGCAUGGAUACCAGAACACAAACUGGGCUUGCACUUUGAGGACACAAAUUCUUCGGAAGAAAACUAUCUCGCUGUGUUUGGAUGGAGCUUAAUAAAAUGGACUGCUCCAAGCUAGGCCUCUACGGGCUUCCAAGUCACAAACAAUGAAGAAUAAUAUCACAAUUUUAUGGUACUUAGCAUGGCUGAGUUACAUCCUGGAUAGUCUCCACAGAAUCGCCACGACUGGCUUUGAUUUGAGUCAGAGGAGCAGAGUUUUACACCCACAUCGCUCAGGAUAAAUGAGUACGCCGUGCGCAGGGCCCUGGGGACCAAGGCCGCAGCGUAUUACUUUCAUUUACAAAGUCCACCGACCUCGUAUACCUUAAACUGUGCUGGUACUUCAACAGUUUUUCAGCUGGAUGAACUAAGUAUUACUGACAAACCACAGCCUGUUUUUAACAGCCAAAUCCACCGGGCAGAAGCUGUCCUGGACUUGCAGUGAUUCCACUGUCCCAUGGGGUGGAGACCCGGGAGCAACUUCCUACACCCAUGAAAAUAGCGCCCGGGGUGGUAUGUGAGUGGCCUGGUUUAAUGCCUAAACACGGUAUCUUGCUCCAGCCCUGAAGGUGCAGUGUGUGUCACGCUGCCGUGGCUCCUGCCAGCCCACUGCGACAGGCAGAGUUGGGUCUCGCCGCCCACUGAAGGCUCCCAUGGGACCUAUCCCGUUCCCAGCAGAGCAAAGGGUCUCCAGAAAUAUCGUGGCUCGGAGUUAUUGACCCACGCAGGGCAAACAGGCUGCAGCAACCUGGUGUAUUCACUUUCCGGGGCACCGUGUAGCUUUACGGAGCCCUUUCUGAUCGCUCUGGUUAACUGAAACCCCGUAGCAGAUUUGCAUCUUGUGAGUAUUUGAAAAUUAUCAACCAUGAAAGCAUCUGGAAAGCUGCACCAAAGAAAGUUUCAAAGAAAACAGAGCUCUGCCAGAAGGACGGAGCCAGUGAAGAGAUCCAAAAGGAAGAGCUGGAAAAGAAGGAAAUAAUAUUUGUAGGUGUAACAGCUGGAAUAACAACUGUUUUGCCUGCUCUCCUUGCGUCUUGCCUUGUUGCUCUUCAUGGACCAGUUUUCAGGGAAGAGCCUGGUUUUCCUGCCGUAAGACCGUUCUGCGUUUGUGCUCCCGUGCCUGGACUUCACUCACACCUAGGACAUCUUUGUGCCCGUCUCCCAAGGCAGGUGCCAAUCGAGCAAGAAGGAAGAUGACCUACCCCCACCGUGGGCACGUACCUCUCCGAAACUACAAGCCAAAGAAAUGAACGUUCAAAAACAGAGAGAAACCCCCCAAAGCGGGUGAGCUUCCUGCGUAGCACUGUGGAUUUGAUUUUCUGCACUUCUAUUGCUGGUAUCGGAUCGUUCAGCACUGAUGCUCAGUGAUGCGGGGUCUGAAUUUCUGAGAGCAUUUCUUAUGGUCCAUUGCUGGAGCCAAGACCCUCCUUGCUGUUGGUGUAUUUUCAGCUGCCGUGAUAGGACACAUCUAGCAGGAUGCACUCAAUCACUCUGGAUAGCCCCAAACAGCCCACUACCAUAAAAGGACCCCUCCACCCGAUAAACCUACCCCAAACUCAUUCUGUUCUGAUUCAUUUUAAUGUGAUCACCAAGGAGGCAAAGUCCCGGAUCGCCUGCUGUCCCUCCUGUCGCGGCUCGGCCGCCCCCCAGCCCGCACACCCUUUCUGCAGCCCAGGAAGCUUCUUUGAAACAUGAGUUGGUCCCACCACGGGGCUCGACCGAGCCGUGUUUCUGACACCUGAGCCUGCACUCGUUUAAAGGAGAGGUGUAAACGGGGCUGGAAACCUGAUUUGGGGGCACCCUGGGUUUAUGCUUGCAGAAACUGCUCAUGUCACUGAAGUAGUUUCAUUUUGUGUCUGUAUGAAGGAGCUUCAGCAUGUCCCCAAGCCAAGUGCUGUGCAAAGCCCGAGCUCCUCCCUCUCAGCCGCCUGUAAUGUUCUACUAUAAUUCCUGACAUUUGAGGGACUUUUAGCAGUAUGUGCAACACCUUUAAAUUAGACAAGUACUAUCUUGCUUGCUCCUGUUAAAUACAUAAGAAAGAGCAAAACAUAAUUUUCUGAUGCUCUGUUAUUUGUACUGAUUUUCUUUUAAACCUAUAAAUACCACCCUGUCACUCUUUCUA